GCAUAACAAUACUCAAAUAAACUUGUUUAAUACAAUGAAAUAGCCUCCCUAUUUAUAGGCUUGGUGGACGUAAAUGUUAAGCCACCUUUCUAAAAGAAAUAAAACCAAAAAUUAAAUCUAAAUCUAAGGUGCCAUGACCGGCCAUUCUACCCUAGAUUCUAGAAGGUUUCUAUCAAAAGUGCUUCCUACACUAUCCUAUCUACUAAGUACCCCCA
rnacentral:lncRNA from 1 species